GGUUGUGGCUCAGUGCUAGAGCGCUCGUCUAGCAUGCAUGAGGCACUGGGUUCAAUCCUCAGCACCA
rnacentral:tRNA from 1 species